rnacentral:lncRNA from 1 species
AAAAAAUUUAUUACUUUACUAAUUACAUUGAGUUUCCAUAAAAGUAAAGACUGAUACUAUAUAUAUAACAACUAUAUAGAAUCAAUUACACUUAACUCUCUUAACAACAAAUACUUAUUCUCUCAACAACAAAAUCUAUUAUUCAAGUGAGUCUUUAACAUGGGAGGUGAUGGAGACCAUUCAAAUGUCAUGACUGCAAGUAACAUUCAUUUAAGUUGGUGACUAGUAAAUAUAGUCAUAAAUAUGAAUUUAUAACAAUUUGUUUCUAUUCUACAGGGAAUGAAGAGUUAAUGUUGGGAAGUAACACAGAUAUGCCUCAUGGGGCAACAUUCUAAAACUAUAAACAUGCUUAAAUGCUAAAUAUUUAUAACUUAUGCUAUUUUUACACUGUGUAGAAGCAUCAUGAACUGCUCAAUGAAGUGAUGUCAAAUAUGAAAAACAUGACAUCAAUUGUGCAACAUGCCUUGGAACUCAUUAGGGUAUUGAAAUCUUAAAAUUCAUUUUUUCCGCCUUAAAAGAUAAACAUAUAUAUAUAUAUAUAUAUAAUAAAAGAAAUUUAUGACUUAACUAUGUUUACUUAUCUAAUCACAUUUCUAGGCUAAUCAGUCUCAGACGGAUUAUCGUAUUGAUGGUUUACACACCAUACGCAAUUUAAUGUUGGUAAAACUACAUAACUUAGAAAACUUGAUGCAUAAGCCUACACAACCUACUUCAGCAAGAGCUUUGUUGCCAAUGAGUACAACAUAUCCACCGGAAGAUGACAUAUCAAACAUUGUUCUUUACAUUUCAUCUGAUGAUGAUAACAACAUAUUACCUAAAGGAACUUCUGUUCAGAAAGGGUCAUCAAGCAAAAAAAAAAAAAAACAACUUCCACUUAUAAGAAGCUCAAUGUGAAGUCUGUCACUUCAGACUCAACCUACACAGAGUCAUCAAUCCGUUUUGGAUCUUCAUCAAAGGUAUAUAAUAAUGUAAAAAACUAUCAAGAUUUACGUGUAAGCUUAAAGAAAUGAUACUGAUUAACCAUUUAUUUUCUUAAAUGGUAGAUGACACAUUUGUUUCCAACUGCUACUGACAAUGAAUGCAUGGUGGGGAGGAGGAGGCUAUCUUUUGUGCCCUCACCAAGUUCUAGGGCAUAGCAAAUUCCUAAGAAAGAACCCUUGGAUGUUAAGACUGAAGUGAAGAAUGUUCCAAUGCAUACUAUUAAACACACCUUGUCUAAGGUGAAUGAAUACAACUAUUAAGUCUUUUUUUAUAUUUUUAAUACCAAUGUCUAAUACUAGACAUAUAUUUAUAGUUUAUCAAGACCAACUUUACUAUCACACCAGCCAUGAGUCUAACAGAAGAGGAAGCUCAACUUUCUGCAUAUGUUUUUCACCCUUUUAAUGACCUGGGGUAAUUGUUACACAUCAUAAAACUUUAUAUCAUUUAGUUCUGUAUGAUAAACAAAUUGUGAUAUUUUACCUCAUUCAUGUAGUGAGAUACUAUUCAAGCUUGAUGGAUUUGAAGGAAUUCGUAAAGAUUUCAUGACCUUGUGUCCUGCAAAAAUAGUUGAAACAGAGGUAAUAUAUUACACUUUGCUUUCCAAUUGAUAUAACUAACUAGUCUUUGUGUAUAUUGAAAGAGAAAUUUAUAUCAUGUUGGCAGAUUGCACACAUGAUGGCAUUAAAGGUUAAUUGGACUCAAAAGCAAAUGUUAACCCCUACAAAGUGGACACUGCCCCCUGCAUUUGUGGUACAAUUUUUUUUAGUCAUAAACAUCUAUUUUACAUAUUUUCAUGUUUAUAGCAUUCUAUAAACAAAGGAGACACAAUAGAGGAAAUCAUUGAAGAGUAUGCUAAGUAUUGGAUGCCGGAUUUUGAAAACCUCAGCCAUGUAUGAACAUUUAGAUCUAUGUGCCAAUUGAAGAUAAUAUUUAACAUAAUUUUGUAUUCCAAUAUCCCUUUAAUUAAUCAACUAAUGAGUUAUUCCAUCAUUAUACAAUUUUAGAUCUAUGUGCCAAUUGAAGAUAUUUGUGGCUUGUGGUACCUUAUGGUUGCUUCCAUUGAUGAGAAAAUGUUGUACCACAUUGAUCCAUUCUUUGAAGAACAAAAUGUCAACCCUACAAACAGUCAUUCAAGAUGUGGUAAUGAUAAUUUUGUCAACUUAUUUUAUUAUGUCCUUUUACUUUGUCAACGUACUUUGACAACUCAUUGUAAUUUAAAUGUAAAUAUGCAGUGGGAAGUGAUCACUCAAAUGUUACGAAGCCCACUCAUCCCGACUCCCUUUAGAGCUGAAACCCUCAAUGGACAAAACUGGACUGUAUCUGACCCAAUGGGCAUUGGAAAAAAAAAAGGAUUUUGGUAUGGAGAAUACAACAUAUUAUAUAUAUAUAUAUAUNNNNNNNNNNNNNNNNNNAUAUAUAUAUAUAUUUAUUGAUUUUUAGAUCAUGAGUCCUAAUAUGAUAGAUAAUUUGUAUUUAACAUUUUAUGUUAUCUCUUUCUAUGUUAUGCAUAACAGCCAAUAUACAUCAUUGUAUGUUGUUGAUUGGUUGCAAAAAGAAUUCCCAAUUCAAACCAGGAACCUUCAUGAGGUCUGAACACUUUUAUUAACUAUUUUAGUCAUUAAACCAAUUUCAUAAAUCCAUUUUUAAAGAAUUUUGAUUAAAAAAAAAUCAAUUUUUUGCAGUCGGAAGAGGAUGUGCUAAGAAUGAGGUUGGUGAUGACAAUUUUAGCAAGUGAACUAAAUUCGUCGCUAAGUAAUAAAAUUUAUAAGAUUCGUAUCCACAUGGAUUGUUCUUAUUUUCAACUAGACAAUUAAUUUAAAUUAGGAUUAAUAAAUAAAUUGCAAAGGGAGGUUUUCAGAUUGAUUUGUAGUAACAAUGACAAUAAUUAAAAUUGCAAGAAAAUUGAAACGUGAACUUUUAUUAGAGAAAGACGAUUAGGAAUUAUUUUGAAUCCUCUCUUUGUCCCUAACUGGUACUCUAGGUUCUAGCCCUCAACAAUGAAAUUCUUAUAAUUACGACAAUAUAACAAAAUAGACCGAGUCCAAUUCCUUGGCUCAUCAAUCUCAUUUAUCUAAUAAAGUACCCUAAUUCCUUAGGCGAAACUAAUAUUAUCAAAAGCUUUAACGAACGUUAUAUUAACCAUCAUGCCAAUUAAUUCUAUAUUCCUAUAGCAAUUAUGAUUGACAAACAAUUAAUCUAGUUUCAGUAUAAACCCUAGGAUCAAUAGUUAUAGUGAUUUAUAACUUAAAAUCAAUUCGAAAGUGAUCAAUUAACGAAAAGCAAUAAACACGAGAUUAACUGAAUAAUUAUAAGUUUUCAUUGAAUAAACUAGAACACGUAGUUACAUGGCUUAGAUAGUUUCAAAGAGAAUCAUCUAUAAUUCCUAAUCUAAUGAGAUUAGUUACUCAUAAUAAUAAUUGACAUAACAAAAGAGUUAAGAAAAUUAUACAUGAAUAACCGAUGAAGACCGCGACGGCGAAACCCUCGAUUUGUAUUUCUCCUUUUGCUAGAUCGUAACUUUUUUUCUCUGCAAAGUGAUUUCCCCUUGUGUUAAUAAAGCUCCUAUUUAUAUGCUUAGGAAAGAACCAAUCGUGACCCUCCUUUGAAUUGUGUCCCAUAUCUUGCUUUGACUGACACGUCACAUGCAAGAAUAAUUGCAAAAUCGCGCCACUACAGGGUGUCUAUGGGGCUGCGAAAAAUACAGAGAGUACAUGCAUAUUUGAGCUUCAAAACUUGGAAUUUUUUUCUAAGUUUUUCCUUAUUUGAUAUUUGGUCUUCACAUUCUUUGGUAUGUCAAUUUCUUCAAGCAUUCUUCUUCUUGACCAUGUAAAACUAUUAAAAUUUCGCUAAAAUACUAUAAAAUAAUAAAUAAAAAUACUCAAAUGACUGAAUGUCAUCAGUUGGCAAUGGAUCUUUUGCUGGGUGAUCACAAUGUUAACGAAACAAAGUUGAAGAACAAGUCUAUGGAGUCUUGGCGUACAAAGAGAUAUGCAUAGGUCUUCAACAAGGAACACUUCAUUUUGAGCGGAUAGACUAUCUAUUUUGAUGUCCGUGUAGCAACUCUACAAUAUUUAAGUUAUCUAUUUUGAUGUAACGUCUUUUUAGUAUUGAUGCUCAUUUGGCUAAUGUCGACCUUUUUGCUAAUGUUUUGUAAGCACUUAAUUAUCCUAAGAAAUAUAGUUUGUCUAAUGUCGACCUCGUUGUGCUAAUGUUUUGUAAGAACCUAGUUAUUAUAAGAAAUGUAAUGGACUAUCCUACUACAAGAUAUAUAUCUAUAUAUUUAUAUGAAAGGCUACUAUCAUCCUUUUGUAACUUAUAUUUUGUGUUAUCUUCAAUUAAUCAAUGUGGAAUCAUAUUAUUGUCUGCAUUUAAGUAGGACCGGUUUAUUUGUUAAGUUAGAAAGAUUAUAGGGUCUUUAAGGUACUUGUGUUGCACAAGACUUGGUAUGACAUUCAAAGCAGUAAAACAAAAGGAUCAAGAUGUGUUACCUGUUCUAUUCUUUUCAAUUUACCUUCUCUAGCUUGAAGUUCUUUUUCCUUUGCCUUGAGAUCCUAAAGGUAAAAAAAAAAUGUAAUUAAAUUUUUGGCAGCAACAAACACCUUGACAUCAUAACUUUGACAUUUACUUCAACAUUUUGAUAAUUCAGUCUCAACCUUUGGCAUGUCAAGAGCAAUGCCAACAAUUGACCCACGAUCAGUUUCAUAGUUACUAUAUCAAACAAAAACUAAAAGGCCUCUAGGCACAACAAAACAACAACAACAACAUUAUGUAGGAAGCAAAGACACUAACACCAAAACUCAAACUAAAUCUUUUGGUGUCAAACCUUUUUGACUUCUGAUGUCUUCCUCGAUGACCACUGGGAGUGGUCUCUCCAUGCUGAUUCAAGUUGAAAUUAGGAAGUAAAGGCAUAAGAAAUGACAAUGACAACAAGAGUACAUAAGCUACAAGUCCACAUGAACCAAAAUGUACAAAUCUAUCAAAACUACCAACAAUCCACCUGCUCACUAGAUACAAAGAACAAAUCCAAUGCUAAUUCCCAAAAAAACGCUAUGAACAGCUUUAAACAAAUUAACCUAGGGUCCCAAUAAACUCAAUUUGAAAUAGAUAGUUUUUAAUUUCCCCUGAUUUCUUUAAUUAUCAAGGUUUCAAAGGAUAAAAGAUGUUCAUGAUAAAACAAAUCAUUAUAGACAUUAAAAUAAUAAAAAAGCAGAAUAACUCAUACAUGCUGGGUUCCAUUGAAUGUGAAAAAUGUAAAAGAUUAAAAAAAAACUAUAACAUGAUUCAAGCACCUCAAAACAUAUUUUUCAUUUUCCAAUAAAUUACUCAAACUGGUACAAAAUUGACCGAACUAAAAGAAUUGAAAUGUGUUUGGUACACUCAAAUUACUCAAAUCAUGUCUAGAUCUAAAGAAUUCAAAGUCAGUACAGGAUAACCAAGCUAUAAUUGCACAAAUCAGCGACAAAAGGGAGUUGGGUUGUCGGAGAGAACCCAAUCAGCGACAAAAGGGAUGACGAGAUCUUCGUCGUCUGGAUUCGAAGGAGUUGGGUUGUUGGAGAACAUAAUCCAAUCAGUGACAACCCCUAAUUGAUUUUUCUCGUUUCAAGAAGAUGAAGGUGCAAAGAAGAAGAGGAAUGAAGGUGCAAAGAAGGUUUAUCGGAGAUUGUUGGCACUGCGGUGAGUGGUGAUUAUUGGAGAACUCAUGGCCACCGUCGUGUAUGCAAAGAGAACAAGAUGGAAGAACUUUAACAAUUUUUUUUUUAUGCGCAAAACAGUAAACAAUUCUUUAAUAAUUAUUUUUAUUUAAAAUUUAUAAGUGACCUGUCAAUUAUUUUUAUUAUUUUUUGUAAAAACAAAAUUUAUUUGGUGACCGUUGGUAGCAGGUCAAAUGGUGAGGGAUCAUUGCUGGACCUUUUUUUGGGGGUCCUGUUGACACCAAAAUUAUAAUAUUGGUAAUAUUCAUUUCGACUUGGUGUUAUAAUUUGAAUAGAAGAAAAACUCAUUUCGAUUAGGCAUGGAACGUGAUUUGUCGAAGUUAGCCAUAUUAAGUGGAAUUCGACUAAACUAUUUUGCUGGCGAAGGCUUCAUUUUCAACAAGAAGUGACAUAUGUUUUAAGACAUCGGAAGAAGUCAUUCAAAGAGUCGAAUAUUGACAUGGUUCUUCGAUCAAGCAAACAACUCCUACGAAGAAGUUAUCGGAAGUUAUUUAAAGGGACAUGUGUCAAUCUUAGAUAUAGGAAGUUAUUAAAUAUAAGACACUUGUCAAAAUCUAAGAUGUAGGAAGUUAUUUUCUAUUUUCUAUAAAUAGUUGUAAUUUCUAUGUACAAAGGGUUGAAUCNNNNNNNN